rnacentral:rRNA from 1 species
UACGGAGGGUGCAAGCGUUAUCCGGAUUUACUGGGUUUAAAGGGUGCGCAGGCGGAUAUGUAAGUCAGUGGUGAAAUCUUCCCGCUUAACGGGAAAACUGCCAUUGAUACUAUAUAUCUUGAAUGCUGUGGAGGUAAGCAGAAUAUGUCAUGUAGCGGUGAAAUGCAUAGAUAUGACAUAGAACUCCAAUUGCGAAGGCAGCUAACUAAACAGAUAUUGACGCUGAGGCACGAAAGCGUGGGGAUCAAACAGG